UCUGAAGCAGUGUGUAACAGCGGCGGUAAAACAAUAAACAGCAGCAGUAAAACAAACCUUGCCCUAUUUUUCGUUAGCUACUCCUUAUCUGUUCCUCAUAGCUCAAAGCUUCAGCAGCGCAGGGAAUGAGAUCACCACUGGCAAUGGGCAGAUCUUUGCCUUCUCUGACACAAUCAUAAAAGAAUGUACGGAUGAAUGCAAAUUUCCUCCUGAAACCAAAACACUGAUGGAAGAGAAGUCAUAAAAAGGAUUGUAUAAUCAUUUGUCUCAAGCAUUCAGUGCCUGUGUAAUAAUAGACAACACAUAGACAUCCUAAAGCCUGAAGCAAAGAAACAGCUUAUCAACUCUAUAUCAUGAGGAAACUAUUUUACACAUUAGAAACAACUGAGAAUUAUGAUUGAAACUGACCAUUUCAGCGCACAGAUAUACACCACAUUUAUGAACUGCGUGACUAUCUCUGCAUUUUAAAAAAUGAUAUUUAUGGUCUCUAUGUAAUACAACAAACACAGGAUAACCCUUGCUGAAUCUUCUAAGCAUAUGCAGCUGAAGGUAGCAGGGUGUAUAAACAGUCUUAGAUGAAACAUUUGUCUAGCAGUGCUAAAUACUAUGGGAAGAAUCCAACAUUGUUUAUGUGAACUUUCACUUACGCAGUUGGACUUCACUACAUUCUCCUCUCUCAGUGCACCUCCUAAAUUUGUUCCAGAGGAUCUCUCAACUCUCUGGAGCAGAUUUUGAAGGCACACAGAGGGCUGAAGGAGAGAGGAGAGGUCAGUGAAGUCAUAUAAUGUGAGGGAAAAUCCAUUCAACUUGUGCAUGGAGAGCAUUGCAUACAACCUGCCUGACCCCUUAGAUCCUGAUCACUGAGAUCUUUGGGGGGGGGUCUCAGUUGGUGGUCCCCCAUGCUUCAGAUGACUUGUAGCUGGGUCCAAGGCUAUAGAACUUGCUCCCAAAUGAGAUUUAGAUUGGCACCCUCCCUGUUGAACCCCAGGUACAUGACUACAACUCUCUUGUUCCAGCAGACGUUUUAAGGUGCUGUUCAGUUUUAUGAUACAUUUUAUUGUUUUAUUUUCUGAAUCAUU